CCUACGGGUGGCUGCAGUGGGGAAUAUUGGACAAUGGGCGAAAGCCUGAUCCAGCCAUGCCGCGUGUGUGAAGAAGGCCUUCGGGUUGUAAAGCACUUUCAGUGGGGAAGAAAGCCUUGGGGCUAAUACCCUCGAGGAAGGACAUCACCCACAGAAGAAGCACCGGCUAACUCCGUGCCAGCAGCCGCGGUAAUACGGAGGGUGCGAGCGUUAAUCGGAAUUACUGGGCGUAAAGCGCGCGUAGGCGGUCUGAUAAGCCGGUUGUGAAAGCCCCGGGCUCAACCUGGGAACGGCAUCCGGAACUGUCAGGCUAGAGUGCAGGAGAGGAAGGUAGAAUUCCCGGUGUAGCGGUGAAAUGCGUAGAGAUCGGGAGGAAUACCAGUGGCGAAGGCGGCCUUCUGGACUGACACUGACGCUGAGGUGCGAAAGCGUGGGUAGCAAACAGGAUUAGAUACCGAUAGUC
rnacentral:rRNA from 1 species